rnacentral:lncRNA from 1 species
UAUUAGCACUGAGUUGCAUCUGUUCAUCAUCAUAUAGAUACUGCAAAUCAGACCAAAAUACACAUCAAAAUUACAUGAGCUGGGUAAGGAUGUCAAAAGGGAGGCUGUUAAUACAUAACGAUGAAAAGGAAAUUUUGAUGUGUGGAGCUGACAUUAAUAUGCCAGAAUCUCAACUUGUGUCUAGGUAACUUGAUUUUUGGCCAUAUGAAAUGCCCAAUCCUGAGAUGAGGAGUCUCGUGAUUGAUUAUUAAUGUCUGCAUGGGUGAGCAUGUAGGGACACAUGGCACAAGUGCUAUGUAUUUUCUCUCCCUCUAUGUGCAGUGUGAUACUAUAGUAGGAAGGUGGGGAAUUCUGUUUUGAACUGGUCAAAGAGCUGACUCCACUCCACAAGAGCUUUUUUUUAAAAAAAACCUUUUCUUAUGGACCAUUUUAAACAUAUACAAAAGAAAAAAUAGUAUAAUGAGCCACUAUAUACCUACCACCCAGUUUUGACAAUUAUCACCUCAGUCUAUCUUUACUUUACUCCCUUCCCCACAUUAUUAAGAAAGAAAUCCCAGACAUCAUAGCAUUCACAAGCCAGUUUUGGACCAGUUUCUAACCUCGCCUAGGAUGCCUCUGUUGUUACACAAUAAAUGUUUUUAAAUUGUUUGGUGUUUUUUGGUGUGCAAUGUUAAGGCAUUAUCAGACUGAGCUAUUUUUGAAAGGGUCUAAAAAUGGUUGAUAAAAACAAAACUUUUGAUUAACUACAUUUUAAUGGAAUAAGCAGUGGUAUGUUUGAGCUUGAAGACAUGGUUUAGAAUGUGUGCAUUUCUCAGUAUGCGGUAUCCUCAGGUCAGCCAGCAACUGCCAUGGGCCUGCCAUUGGUCAGACACCAUACUCAGCAUAGUCACCUGUUCUCAUCUGAGCCUUGUAGGACAGCUGAGGCAUGCAUGUGCAAAGUGAUGGGCCUGAGGCCAGUCAGACAGAAGGAGUGGCAACUGAAGAAAUAAUUUGCUGUUUUAAUAAAACUUGGCUUCCAAUAUACCUAAGCUGCCUCUGCCAUGUUCAACACAACUCUGAUGUUCCCCUUGAUAGAAUUCACCUUUUUUUUUUUUUUAACUCAAGGAGUCUUUGAAACCCAGGUCCAAUAGCUACAUGAAAUUUGGAUAGCCCAAUAAAUACCAUGAAGAGAGACCUGGAGGGGAACAAGUGAGUUUAGAGCUAAUACUUAUGACCAUGGAGAUAUGGAAGGCAAGAAAUCUUAUUACAUGCUCUGACUGCCUAGAGAAAAAGAAACCAGUGCAUCCUAAAUCUCCCAACUAUAGAGACGUGCAUGAUCUGACCUUAAAACCUGUCUCUUAGAUCUUUCACAGUAAUUUCAUUUUUACCUUGAGAAAUGGUUGGGAAGAUGGAAUGAAAAUGAGAAAACAUUCUUAACUUCACAAAUGUUUGGAGGCAGUUAGACAUUUAUGUUGAAAAGUUCUUGUGCUGAGGACACCAGUACAUCUACCAGCUUUGUAUAAUAAUGAAAUGGUAGAAAAAGGCAGGAGGACUCUAAAACUGGCUAGCCAUCCCCCAACGCAGAGUCUCAUCACUUCUUUCUGAUCUUGUUUCCUCAUGGGUAAAAUGAGAAGAGUAGCCUAUCAGAAAUUUCAAUUGACAGCAUGUAGAUGUACUGUUCAGCAUGUGUUUUGUGUUGUUGUUAUUAUUGUUGUUCUUUUGAUUUGGAUCAGCUGCCAGUACUUAACAGUUGAGAGACUUUACAUCUUUUUUUCUGUACCCAUGUUCUUACAUGGCAAGAAUUGGAAUCUCCAAAAGAACUGCUGCCUUCAGAAAAGAUAGAUGAUCUCUUAUUUGCCCCAGUCCCUACCAUUCCUUAUUGUCUCCCUGAUAGUACAGCUGAGGGCCACUUGUCAUUUCUCACUGUACACGCAGUGACUUCUGAGUAUUGUACUCCUACAUUCCCUGCCUGGUCCCUGGAGACUCUUGCAUUUAUAACCUGGACCUUAUGAACUCUAAGGUCUCACAAGUUCCAUGGUUGUGUGCAAUAUAGUGUCCCAAAUGGCGAAGGUCGCAGUAUGUUGUCUAAUUAAAGUUUUCUAGCAGUGGGAGCUUUGGAAUCCAAAAGGUAGGACUCACCUUUUCAUCCAGAUCAGUCUCAUUUUCAGAGGAAAUGCUGACUCAGAUCUGGGAGUUGAGAUGAGAGCACUGAAGUCCUGCCUUCUGUGUAAUUAUGUCUCCCUACCUUGGCUUGGCCUUGGCUUUCGGCACUCACUGAGGAUUUUUUUUUUUUUUUUUUUUUUUUUGCUUCUUUGGUACUGAUAUUCAAAUCUGAACUAUGGCCAACUACAGUGUUCUGGACACUUGCUUUAUCAUCUUCUAUUUGCAUACUCUUUCAUAAUUUCCAAAAUUCUCUCCUAAACAUCAUUUGCUUUUCACGCCAACCCUGUGAGAGAUAGAGCAUGUAUUGCUAUAUCUAUUUUACAAAAGUGAGGACAAAAUAAGACGUUAUUAACAAAGGUUUUUACAUUUCAGCCUCUUCCCUUAAAAUCAGACCCCAAUACUUUGUUUCUAAAGCUAUUUCCUAAAUAAAAAAAUAAAAACCUGUUUAUUUAAUUAAAACAUCAUUCUUCGAGGUCUGAAGACUUCCAGACUGCAUUAUUCUCCCUUCCCACUGAGAAAUAAUUGAAGAUUGAUAUGAUACAUUUUAUUAAUUAGGCCCGUCUGGUUUUCCCACAGAGAAAAAAGGAAUGCGUCAUCUUUUAUGCCGGCUGAUUUAAAUAAAAAUCCACUUGGAUUUAGCCUUUUCAUGCUGGUACUGUGCCAAAAUGACCACAAUACGAAAUGUGAAAUAUUUACCUUUUAGCAUUCUCAGGGAAAAAAAUAUGAAUUGUCAUAGCAAAAUAUAUUUUUUCUCAGAGCACCAAGAAACAGUAUUACGCAGGAUUUGUGUAUUCUGAUUGACUGAUUUAACUGCAAACUAAUCAAAAUGAAUGAAGUAAAAUAUUUAGAAGGAUUACAGAGAGUAUUAUGUCCUCUCCUUGGUUUCAGAGGAUAUUGCUCUGUGUGUGUGUGUGUGUGUGUUGGUUAAUUUUAUGUGUCAACUUGACUGGGCCUCAGUACCUACAUAUGUUAUUUUACAUGUUUCUGUGAAGGUAUGUUUUUUAGUUGGGAUAAACAUUCAAAUCAGUAGACAAGUAAAAUAGCUUAACCUCCAUAACAUGGGUAAGCGUCAUCUAGCCAGUCAAAGACAUUAAUAGAAAAAUACCAACCUCCUCCUCAGAAGAAUUCGGCCAGCAGGCUAACUUUGGGCUCGUAUGGCACCUCUUCUGCAGCUUUCCAGUUCUACCCUGCAGAAUGUGGACUGGUCACUGUCCACAAUCGCAUAAGCCAAUUCCUUAACAUCUCUUUAUCUCUCUCUGUAGAUCCACCUCCUUUUGGUUCUGUUUCUCUGGAAAAACCUAACUAAUGAAGUAUAUGUGUGUGUGCGUGUGUGCACACACCUGUGUAUGUGGCAGAGAGAUAAUGUGUAUGUGUCAUAUCCUAAAGCAAUUAAGACUCUGAACCAGGAGUUGACAACCAUUUUCUGUAAGGGGCAAGAAAGUAAAUAUUUUAGGUUUUGAGGGAUAUAUGAUCUUUGUUGCAACUACUCAGAUCUAUUGUUGUAGCUCAAUAGCAGCCAUAGACAAUGUCAAACUGGCAUGACUGUGUUACAGUAAAACUCUAUUUAUAAAAACAGGUGGUGAGUCAGAUUUGGCUAAUAGGCUAUAGUUUGCAAACCUCUGCUGUACAUUCCAAAGGCAUUGUCUAAUAUAGUCAUUGCAAGAGUUAUUGGUUGAUAGGUAAAAUAUUAUGUAUUUACCACAUAGCCAAGCAUUUUGUGGCAUGAAAUAUAUACACAUUUCAACAAAAAUUCAGAUGUACAAGGUAAAAAAUCCUUAUUUUUUCUGUAUCAACUUAAUACCUAAAUUUAGCUCCCAUUGUCCUGUAGUGACAAAACCUAAACUACCACUUGGGGCAUUAAGAUUAACUUCAGAGCUUAUCUUGUAGAAAGGGAGCAUGCCCACAUAACACUUGAUAUCUUCUAUCCCUAGUAAUACCCAGUGAGGUGUCCAUUGCCUUAUCUGGUCUCUGGUCAUCACAGGUCACCAAUGAGAUAACCCCUGCUUCUUGUCUGCAAGGCUCCUUUGUGUCCAAAGAGUCUUCGUGCAAUCUGCAUGCCACCCUUGUUAAUUUUUCCAUUCUUAUAUCACACGGGGGCAGAGAAAAGUCCUUAAGACAAUUGUGGCCUUGCUGCCUGAAAACACUGAUUAGCCAGCCUUUUCCAGGGUCUUGCCCCUCCUGGGAUCUUUAUAACAUUAGGAUAGAUUAGAUACAAUAGGCUUCUAUUUCUCUUCUAUUUCCCCCUCCUCUCCAGGCUUAGCCUAUGGAGCAGAGCGCAGGAACUUGUCAAUGCCCAAGAAUUGUCACCACCUACCUCUAUCUUUCAUCCUUCCCCAGAUGCAGUCACCUUUGCCUGGUCCAGGAGUGAGGAAGCCUCACUCUUAUUCAUAAUGUCUUGAGUCAUUUUCCAUCCUCUCAUCUUCUAAGAUUUUCACAUCCAAAAGGCACCAGAAGACUCAGUUUUUCUCUUCUUGCUUUCAUGGGAUCUCAUCCUUGAGCAGAACAGGCCUUUCUCUUGGAUGGGAGGGAUGGCCAAAGAGAAGAAAUAUUAAAGAUAAAACACUGGUAAAUAUUUGAUAAUAUUUGAUAAUAUUAUCAUGUCACAUUCCAUCUUCAUAACACCUGGAAUAAAGUGAAUUCCCAGACCUGUUUUAUGGAACUAGAAAGUAGAGUAUAGAGAAACAGAACCAUUUGCCCUAAUAUCAGACCCAAGAAUCAAAAGAAGGUCAUCCUGACCCUGUAGCCAGGAUUUUGAACCUCUGGUGGGCUUUACUAACCUAAUAUUUACACAGGAUGUUUUGCUGUUGGAGCAGACCAUAAUCUUUGGAGUCUGAAAACUAAUUUGUGAGUCAAAAAUCAAAGGAAAUGAGAAAUGCAAAGUUUUUCUCAGUGGGAAAUUAGUGAUAUAUGUAUAUAUAUAUAUAUACACACACACAUAUAUAGGCUAUAUAUAUAUACAUAUACAUAUAUAUAUACAUAUACAUAUAUAUAGCCUAUAUAUACACACAUAUAUAGGCUAUAUAGAUAUACAUAUACAUAUAUAUAGCCUAUAUAUACAUAUAUAGGCUACCUGUUCAGAGAAAGCAGAGAUUACUCUGGGCUAGAGUAAGGCUUUCAUAGAGAUAGUAAUUGACUUUCAUAAGUUUAAUAUCCAUGGACUAAUAGGGUUCACCUGUUGGGAUAUAAGCUAUGGGGAGGAAUUCUCUAUCUUCCUGUGUUUGAGGAAGAUGUCUGGCUUAUGGCCACCAGUACAUGUCCAGUCACAUGAGAGAAGCCACUGGUUUUAGGCAUCAGUGCUGAUUCUGGUGACAUGAAAUACAUGCAUAUUCUUCACUCCAACAAUGGAGUCUCUUAGAUGAUGCCAUCCAGUUCUUAACCAUUUAUCCCCUAUUCUUGGUAUUUGGGAAAAUUUAAGAUUCUACUCACCUUGAGACACUAUGGAACUGUCUAGAUGGGGUCAGGAGAGGAAGAAAUAUCUCCCUAGUUAAACCACUCAGUCGGCGUCACUCAGACACUAAGAACGAACGGGAAUUUCUCAUUGAGACCAUUUUAGUUUUCUCUCAUCACUUUUGUUCUGGGAACUCUUCCCCAAGACUUAGAGGGAGUUAUAGUUGGCUGACCCUGUACUCCUUGGUUCAGUAUCCUAGAGCUCUUGGCAUAGGCAAGGUCUAAUUUUUGACUAUGUUCCUCCUCCAGUUCUCACCUGCUGGCCAUUUGUUGAACUAUUUUGGGUUGGAAAACUGUUCUUAUGCAUUCUUGGAGUUUCUAAAUUCUUUUCCUCUUACUUUUAUUCCAUGUAUUUGGCUUAACAAACCAGAAAACAGGAAAAAAAAAUCUCUCUCAAAAGAUCACCACUUCGAGAGUUCCCAUUGCGGUGCAGAGGAAAUUAAUCCAACUAGAAACCAUGAGGUUGCGGGUACGAUCCUUGGCCUCACUCAGUGGGUUAAGGAUCCGGCAUUGCCAUGAGCUGCGGUGUAGGUAACAGAUGCGGCUCAGAUCUUGCAUUGCUGUGGCUCUGGCUUAGGUAGGCCGGCAGCAACAGCUCCAGUUAGACCCCUAGCCUGAGAACCUCCAUAUGCCGCAGGUGCAGCCCUAAAAAGACAAAAGAGAAAAAAAAAA